UAGAUUGAACGCUGGCGGCAGGCCUAACACAUGCAAGUCGAGCGGUAACAGAGAGUAGCUUGCUACUUUGCUGACGAGCGGCGGACGGGUGAGUAAUGCCUAGGAAUCUGCCUAGUAGUGGGGGAUAACGUUCGGAAACGAACGCUAAUACCGCAUACGUCCUACGGGAGAAAGUGGGGGAUCUUCGGACCUCACGCUAUUAGAUGAGCCUAGGUCGGAUUAGCUAGUUGGUGAGGUAAUGGCUCACCAAGGCUACGAUCCGUAACUGGUCUGAGAGGAUGAUCAGUCACACUGGAACUGAGACACGGUCCAGACUCCUACGGGAGGCAGCAGUGGGGAAUAUUGGACAAUGGGCGAAAGCCUGAUCCAGCCAUGCCGCGUGUGUGAAGAAGGUCUUCGGAUUGUAAAGCACUUUAAGUUGGGAGGAAGGGCAGUAAAUUAAUACUUUGCUGUUUUGACGUUACCGACAGAAUAAGCACCGGCUAACUCUGUGCCAGCAGCCGCGGUAAUACAGAGGGUGCAAGCGUUAAUCGGAAUUACUGGGCGUAAAGCGCGCGUAGGCGGUUUGUUAAGUUGGAUGUGAAAGCCCCGGGCUCAACCUGGGAACUGCAUCCAAAACUGGCAAGCUAGAGUACAGUAGAGGGUGGUGGAAUUUCCUGUGUAGCGGUGAAAUGCGUAGAUAUAGGAAGGAACACCAGUGGCGAAGGCGACCACCUGGACUGAUACUGACGCU
rnacentral:rRNA from 1 species